UACGUAGGGGGCAAGCGUUGUCCGGAUUUAUUGGGCGUAAAGCGCGUGUAGGCGGCCAGGUAGGUCCGUUGUGAAAACUGGAGGCUUAACCUCCAGCUGUCGAUGGAAACCAUCUGGCUAGAGUCCGGAAGAGGAGAGUGGAAUUCCUGGUGUAGCGGUGAAAUGCGCAGAUAUCAGGAAGAACACCCGUGGCGAAGGCGGCUCUCUGGGACGGUACUGACGCUGAGACGCGAAAGCGUGGGGAGCGAACAGG
rnacentral:rRNA from 1 species